rnacentral:lncRNA from 1 species
CAGGCGGCAGUGUUCCCGCCGCUGACGCGAGCCCCCGCGUGCCUGACAGCGACGCCCCCACGCCCUCCAGGACCCUCCCCCGCCCCGCUCGCUCAGAGACCGGGCCAUGGCCACUUAGCGUGGGCCCGAAAGCCCAGAAGCGGGCCUGGACGAGUGGGAGACCACGACCUGGAAGGGCGAGGGCACAGAGGGCAGGGUCUGAGGAACUGCGCCAUCGUUUAUGUCAAAGUUUGGAGUUGGAAGCCAUGGACACUAACUCGGACUGAUUUAAGGAGAAAAAUGAUUUACUACCGGGGAGAAGAUGUAGCUCAGCGGUUGAGCACCUGCUUGCCAGGUACCAAGUCCUGGGUUUGAUCCCCUGUACCUCCUGAAAAAAC